GACGAACGCUGGCGGCGUGCUUAACACAUGCAAGUCGAACGGAAAGGCCCUGCUUUUGUGGGGUGCUCGAGUGGCGAACGGGUGAGUAACACGUGAGUAACCUGCCCUUGACUUUGGGAUAACUCCAGGAAACUGGGGCUAAUACCGGAUAGGAGCGCCUGCUGCAUGGGGGGGGUUGGAAAGUUUCGGCGGUUGGGGAUGGACUCGCGGCUUAUCAGCUUGUUGGUGGGGUAGUGGCUUACCAAGGCUUUGACGGGUAGCCGGCCUGAGAGGGUGACCGGCCACAUUGGGACUGAGAGACGGCCCAGACUCCUACGGGAGGCAGCAGUGGGGAAUAUUGCACAAUGGGCGGAAGCCUGAUGCAGCAACGCCGCGUGCGGGAUGACGGCCUUCGGGUUGUAAACCGCUUUCGCCUGUGACGAAGCGUGAGUGACGGUAAUGGGUAAAGAAGCACCGGCUAACUACGUG
rnacentral:rRNA from 1 species